rnacentral:rRNA from 1 species
AAAUUGAAGAGUUUGAUCAUGGCUCAGAUUGAACGCUGGCGGCAGGCCUAACACAUGCAAGUCGAGCGGUAGCACAGAGAGCUUGCUCUCGGGUGACGAGCGGCGGACGGGUGAGUAAUGUCUGGGAAACUGCCUGAUGGAGGGGGAUAACUACUGGAAACGGUAGCUAAUACCGCAUAACGUCGCAAGACCAAAGUGGGGGACCUUCGGGCCUCAUGCCAUCAGAUGUGCCCAGAUGGGAUUAGCUAGUAGGUGGGGUAACGGCUCACCUAGGCGACGAUCCCUAGCUGGUCUGAGAGGAUGACCAGCCACACUGGAACUGAGACACGGUCCAGACUCCUACGGGAGGCAGCAGUGGGGAAUAUUGCACAAUGGGCGCAAGCCUGAUGCAGCCAUGCCGCGUGUGUGAAGAAGGCCUUCGGGUUGUAAAGCACUUUCAGCGGGGAGGAAGGCGAUAAGGUUAAUAACCUUGGCGAUUGACGUUACCCGCAGAAGAAGCACCGGCUAACUCCGUGCCAGCAGCCGCGGUAAUACGGAGGGUGCAAGCGUUAAUCGGAAUUACUGGGCGUAAAGCGCACGCAGGCGGUCUGUCAAGUCGGAUGUGAAAUCCCCGGGCUCAACCUGGGAACUGCAUUCGAAACUGGCAGGCUAGAGUCUUGUAGAGGGGGGUAGAAUUCCAGGUGUAGCGGUGAAAUGCGUAGAGAUCUGGAGGAAUACCGGUGGCGAAGGCGGCCCCCUGGACAAAGACUGACGCUCAGGUGCGAAAGCGUGGGGAGCAAACAGGAUUAGAUACCCUGGUAGUCCACGCCGUAAACGAUGUCGAUUUGGAGGUUGUGCCCUUGAGGCGUGGCUUCCGGAGCUAACGCGUUAAAUCGACCGCCUGGGGAGUACGGCCGCAAGGUUAAAACUCAAAUGAAUUGACGGGGGCCCGCACAAGCGGUGGAGCAUGUGGUUUAAUUCGAUGCAACGCGAAGAACCUUACCUGGUCUUGACAUCCACAGAACUUUCCAGAGAUGGAUUGGUGCCUUCGGGAACUGUGAGACAGGUGCUGCAUGGCUGUCGUCAGCUCGUGUUGUGAAAUGUUGGGUUAAGUCCCGCAACGAGCGCAACCCUUAUCCUUUGUUGCCAGCGGUUAGGCCGGGAACUCAAAGGAGACUGCCAGUGAUAAACUGGAGGAAGGUGGGGAUGACGUCAAGUCAUCAUGGCCCUUACGACCAGGGCUACACACGUGCUACAAUGGCAUAUACAAAGAGAAGCGACCUCGCGAGAGCAAGCGGACCUCAUAAAGUAUGUCGUAGUCCGGAUUGGAGUCUGCAACUCGACUCCAUGAAGUCGGAAUCGCUAGUAAUCGUAGAUCAGAAUGCUACGGUGAAUACGUUCCCGGGCCUUGUACACACCGCCCGUCACACCAUGGGAGUGGGUUGCAAAAGAAGUAGGUAGCUUAACCUUCGGGAGGGCGCUUACCACUUUGUGAUUCAUGACUGGGGUGAAGUCGUAACAAGGUAACCGUAGGGGAACCUGCGGUUGGAUCACCUCCUUA